UACGUAGGGGCGAGCGUUGUCCGGAUUUAUUGGGCGUAAAGAGCUCGUAGGCGGUUCGAUAAGUCGGACGUGAAAUCUCCACGCUCAACGUGGAGGGCCGUUCGAUACUGUCGUGACUCGAGUCCGGUAGGGGAGUGUGGAAUUCCCGGUGUAGCGGUGAAAUGCGCAGAUAUCAGGAGGAACACCGGUGGCGAAGGCGGAUCUCUGGGCCUUACCUGACGCUGAGGCGCGAAAGCUAGGGUAGCAAACGGG
rnacentral:rRNA from 1 species